UACGGAGGGUGCAAGCGUUAUCCGGAUUCACUGGGUUUAAAGGGUGCGUAGGAGGGCAGGUAAGUCAGUGGUGAAAUCCUAGAGCUUAACUCUAGAACUGCCGUUGAUACUAUCUGUCUUGAAUAUUGUGGAGGUGAGCGGAAUAUGUCAUGUAGCGGUGAAAUGCUUAGAUAUGACAUAGAACACCAAAUUGCGAAGGCAGCUCGCUACACAUAUAUUGACUCUGAGGCACGAAAGCGUGGGGAUCAAAACAGG
rnacentral:rRNA from 1 species